rnacentral:rRNA from 1 species
GGCUCGUCGCUGCUGUGAUCAUGAUACUUUCGAAUCGCAUGCGUGCGCGGCGAUGUUUCAUUCAAAUUUCUGCCCUAUCAACUGUCGAUGGUAAGGUAGUGGCUUACCAUGGUUGCAACGGGUGACGGAGAAUUAGGGUUCGAUUCCGGAGAGGGAGCCUGAGAAACGGCUACCACAUCUAAGGAAGGCAGCAGGCACGAAAAUUACCCAAUCCCGAUUCGGGGAGGUAGUGACAAGAAAUAACGGUACGGGGCCUUUAUAGGUCUCGCAAUCGGAAUGAGAACAAUUUAAAUCCUUUAACGAGGAUCAAUUGGAGGGCAAGUCUGGUGCCAGCAGCCGCGGUAAUUCCAGCUCCAAUAGCGUAUAUUAAAGUUGUUGCAGUUAAAAAGCUCGUAGUUGGAUUUCGGAGCGGGCCCGUCGGUCCACCGCAAGGUGAGCUACUGGCGGGUCUGUUCUUCUUCGCAAAGACUGCAGGUGCACUUCGCUGUGUGCUUGUCGGAUUUGUGACGUUUACUUUGAAAAAAUUAGAGUGUUCAAAGCAGGCUUUCGCUUGAAUACAUGAGCAUGGAAUAAUGGAAUAGGACUUUGGUUCUAUUUUGUUGGUUUCUAGGACCGAAGUAAUGAUUAAGAGGGACAAACGGGGGCAUCUGUAUUUCGUUGUCAGAGGUGAAAUUCUUGGAUUUGCGAAAGACAAACAACUGCGAAAGCACUUGCCAAGAGUGUUUUCAUUAAUCAAGAACGAAAGUUAGAGGAUCGAAGACGAUCAGAUACCGUCCUAGUUCUAACCAUAAACGAUGUCGACUAGGGAUCGGCGGGCGUUAUUUUAUGACCCCGUCGGCACCUUACGGGAAACCAAAGUUUUUGGAUUCCGGGGGUAGUAUGGUUGCAAAGCUGAAACUUAAAGCAUUUAUCCCGGUGGAUGGGUGCUUUGAGAACGUAAAAACGAUCCAAUGCGUUCUCCAGUCUUACAGAAAGCGUAAGUUGGAACACAACGUCGUAUUUAUUGAUCUUGCCAAGGCCUUUGACACGGUCUUGCAUGACUCGAUAAGGAAAGCGUUGUGGCGGAAAGGUGUUCCGUCUGGGGUUGUUAAAGUG